AGUGAACGCUGGCGGUAGGCCUAACACAUGCAAGUCGAACGGCAGCACAGUAAGAGCUUGCUCUUACGGGUGGCGAGUGGCGGACGGGUAAGGAAUACAUCGGAAUCUACUUUUUCGUGGGGGAUAACGUAGGGAAACUUACGCUAAUACCGCAUACGACCUACGGGUGAAAGCAGGGGAUCUUCGGACCUUGCGCGAUUGAAUGAGCCGAUGUCGGAUUAGCUAGUUGGCGGGGUAAAGGCCCACCAAGGCGACGAUCCGUAGCUGGUCUGAGAGGAUGAUCAGCCACACUGGAACUGAGACACGGUCCAGACUCCUACGGGAGGCAGCAGUGGGGAAUAUUGGACAAUGGGCGCAAGCCUGAUCCAGCCAUACCGCGUGGGUGAGGAAGGCCUUCGGGUUGUAAAGCCCUUUUGUUGGGAAAGAAAAGCAGCAGGUUAAUACCCCGCUGUUCUGACGGUACCCAAAGAAUAAGCACCGGCUAACUUCGUG
rnacentral:rRNA from 1 species